rnacentral:lncRNA from 1 species
GAGCAUUUAGUAGAAUCAUUUUUGUAGUGUACACAAAUGGUACAAAAAGACAAAUAGUCAUUUUAAAUCACGUCCUUGGUGUUCCUUUCUGCCUGUUCUCUGUACGGAAGCUUUAUGGCUAUAUAUCAUCUUCCCCUCAAAGCCUUAGGUUUUUUCUUCAUAUCAACCACUGAUUUCCGCCAUUAGAAUCGCUACAUGAAAAAUUAAAGCAGAUGCAGCCAAUUAGUUCCUUUGAGCAGGUUUGUAUUUCUAUUCCAAGUAAUUUCGGAGUCAUACAUUUGGGCCAUUCACAGUAACAUUUUUUAAUUUUACAAAGGGAAAUGUAUUCAACUUGAAUUUAUUAACUGAGUUUUUUUAAUUCCAAAUGUGCUAUAAUCCCCAUGAAUAGUCUGUGCUCUCGGUUUGAGGAUAAAUGUAUUGAUUUUAAUGGGGAAUAAUGCUAACAUUGUCAGAUUUUUUGUGUUGGCAUAGGGGGUUUUCGUAUGUCAGACAUAUGGUAAUGAAGGCUUCGCCAAUGCUUUUGUUUACUGUGUUAAGUGUAUGAACUUUGUUAUUCACAGGUAAUUAUUGUCAUCAUUUCCUUGGUUAAAUACAAAAAUAUCAAGAUUCUUUUAUUACUUUGUUUGUUAUAAUAUCUACUUUCACUUAUUUGUUUCUACAAUACUCUACUUUAAUUUCACCAUAUUAUAACAUUAUAUUUAAAAAGUUUCCCAAUUACAACAAUUUCGUUCCAAGUUUCUUUACGCAGUCCAUAUGUUUUGUAUAUACUUUGAACAUCUUGUGAUGGUUAACAUUUUCAAAGUAAAAUGCCAGAAACAACAAGUUAUUCCAUUUAUUUGUUUAUUAUAGAUUUAUAGGAUAGUACUUUUGUUUAUUCUCAUUACAAUGUUGUACUUUCAAAAAUUGACCCUAUUAUAACAAAUAUUAUUGAUAUUGACUAUUGAGUAUACACUUUAAAACAGUUUGCAAGUUUUUUUCUUUUUUUUUUCUUUUUUUUUUUACAAUAUACAAUUUCCUGAUAAGAAAAAAAUAUUGAAAUUGUAAUGAUAUAAUUGGUAAAUUUGUCAAAGCGUGAUAUCCUACAAAGAAAAAUAUUUGAAGUACAAUGCUAGAAUUGAGUAGUUUAUUUGAAGUACAAUGUCAUCAUAGGAAAAAGAAAUGAAAGUAUAUACACUGUUGUGGUAGAAAGAAAUGAAAGAAGAAUGCUAUAAUACACAAAUAAAUAAAAGUAAAUUGGUAUUUCUUGCAUUCAGCUAUAACUUGGUUAAUUUGGUAACUAUCAUAAUGUCAUGAUUUAAACCAAACAAAAAGAAGCAAAAUCAAUACAAAAUACAUGACAUCGAACAAUUUUUUAUCCUAUUUUUGAUCUUUCAGAUAGUGCUUAAAUGUGAUACCGAAGACGUUCAACGAGCUUGUCAUUUGGUACUGUGAACGUUGCAAACGAAUGGUUACUUCACCUGAAGUUAAAUCUUCACAUUCCAAGAAAAGAAAGCUACAAAUUCGGGAAAGAUAAAACCAACCCUUAAUUCAGAAGAAGGAAAAAAAGGAAAGGUAUAUUUGCAUAUUUUAUAGUUAAAGGAGAUUUGUAUAUUAUGAUAUACCAAAGAAAAAUCAUGAAAACCGGAAAAAAAAAAUUAAUUAAUUCUAGUAUGGGGGUAAGGAUUUUUACGAUGUAUUUAUUUGCUUACUUCUAUUAUAAUUAUUUUUAGUUAUUUAUGUAAAAAAGUGUCACCUUUUCCCGAAUUUAUAUAACUUGGAUUUUAUACAAAA